rnacentral:rRNA from 1 species
UACGGAGGGUGCGAGCGUUAUCCGGAUUCACUGGGUUUAAAGGGUGCGUAGGCGGGUAUAUAAGUCAGUGGUGAAAGCUCCGGGCUUAACUUGGAAACUGCCAUUGAUACUGUAUAUCUUGAAUGUCGUUGAGGUUAGCGGAAUGUUGCAUGUAGCGGUGAAAUGCUUAGAUAUGUUACAGAACACCAAUUGUGAAGACAGCUAACUAAGCGAUGAUUGACGCUGAGGCACGAAAGCGUGGGGAGCAAACAGG